rnacentral:rRNA from 1 species
GCAAGUCGAGCGAACAGAAGGGAGCUUGCUCCCGGAUGUUAGCGGCGGACGGGUGAGUAACACGUGGGUAACCUGCCUGUAAGACUGGGAUAACUCCGGGAAACCGGAGCUAAUACCGGAUAGUUCCUUGAACCGCAUGGUUCAAGGAUGAAAGACGGUUUCGGCUGUCACUUACAGAUGGACCCGCGGCGCAUUAGCUAGUUGGUGGGGUAAUGGCUCACCAAGGCGACGAUGCGUAGCCGACCUGAGAGGGUGAUCGGCCACACUGGGACUGAGACACGGCCCAGACUCCUACGGGAGGCAGCAGUAGGGAAUCUUCCGCAAUGGACGAAAGUCUGACGGAGCAACGCCGCGUGAGUGAUGAAGGUUUUCGGAUCGUAAAGCUCUGUUGUUAGGGAAGAACAAGUGCGAGAGUAACUGCUCGCACCUUGACGGUACCUAACCAGAAAGCCACGGCUAACUACGUGCCAGCAGCCGCGGUAAUACGUAGGUGGCAAGCGUUGUCCGGAAUUAUUGGGCGUAAAGGGCUCGCAGGCGGUUUCUUAAGUCUGAUGUGAAAGCCCCCGGCUCAACCGGGGAGGGUCAUUGGAAACUGGGRAACUUGAGUGCAGAAGAGGAGAGUGGAAUUCCACGUGUAGCGGUGAAAUGCGUAGAGAUGUGGAGGAACACCAGUGGCGAAGGCGACUCUCUGGUCUGUAACUGACGCUGAGGAGCGAAAGCGUGGGGAGCGAACAGGAUUAGAUACCCUGGUAGUCCACGCCGUAAACGAUGAGUGCUAAGUGUUAGGGGGUUUCCGCCCCUUAGUGCUGCAGCUAACGCAUUAAGCACUCCGCCUGGGGAGUACGGUCGCAAGACUGAAACUCAAAGGAAUUGACGGGGGCCCGCACAAGCGGUGGAGCAUGUGGUUUAAUUCGAAGCAACGCGAAGAACCUUACCAGGUCUUGACAUCCUCUGACAACCCUAGAGAUAGGGCUUUCCCUUCGGGGACAGAGUGACAGGUGGUGCAUGGUUGUCGUCAGCUCGUGUCGUGAGAUGUUGGGUUAAGUCCCGCAACGAGCGCAACCCUUGAUCUUAGUUGCCAGCAUUU